rnacentral:lncRNA from 1 species
GACGCAGCGGAGGUUUUCCUGGUUUCGGACCCCAGCGGCCGGAUGGUGAAAUCCUCCCUGCAGCGGAUCCUCAAUAGCCACUGCUUCGCCAGAGAGAAGGAAGGGGAUAAACCCAGCGCCACCAUCCACGCCAGCCGCACCAUGCCGCUCCUAAGCCUGCACAGCCGCGGCGGCAGCAGCAGUGAGAGUUCCAGGGUCUCCCUCCACUGCUGUAGUAACCCGGGUCCGGGGCCUCGGUGGUGCUCCUGAUGCCCCUCACCCACCCCUGAAGAUCCCAGGUGGGCGAGGGAAUAGUCAGAGGGAUCACAAUCUUUCAGCUAACUUAUUCUACUCCGAUGAUCGGCUGAAUGUAACAGAGGAACUAACGUCCAACGACAAGACGAGGAUUCUCAACGUCCAGUCCAGGCUCACAGACGCCAAACGCAUUAACUGGCGAACAGUGCUGAGUGGCGGCAGCCUCUACAUCGAGAUCCCGGGCGGCGCGCUGCCCGAGGGGAGCAAGGACAGGUGAGGGUUCUCCUGGAGUUCGCUGAGGAGCAGCUGCGAGCCGACCAUGUCUUCAUUUGCUUCCACAAGAACCGCGAGGACAGAGCCGCCUUGCUCCGAACCUUCAGCUUUUUGGGCUUUGAGAUUGUGAGACCGGGGCAUCCCCUUGUCCCCAAGAGACCCGACGCUUGCUUCAUGGCCUACACGUUCGAGAGAGAGUCUUCGGGAGAGGAGGAGGAGUAGGGCCGCCUCGGGGCUGGGCAUCCGGCCCCUGGGGCCACCCCUUGUCAGCCGGGUGGGUAGGAACCGUAGACUCGCUCAUCUCGCCUGGGUUUGUCCGCAUGUUGUAAUCGUGCAAAUAAACGCUCACUCCGAAUUAGCGGUGUAUUUCUUGAAGUUUAAUAUUGUGUUUGUGAUACUGAAGUAUUUGCUUUAAUUCUAAAUAAAAAUUUAUAUUUUACUUUUUUAUUGCUGGUUUAAGAUGAUUCAGAUUAUCCUUGUACUUUGAGGAGAAGUUUCUUAUUUGGAGUCUUUUGGAAACAGUCUUAGUCUUUUAACUUGGAAAGAUGAGGUAUUAAUCCCCUCCAUUGCUCUCCAAAAGCCAAUAAAGUGAUUACACC